rnacentral:rRNA from 1 species
CGGCUCAGUAACACGUGGAUAACCUACCCUCAGAUCUGGGAUAACUCCGGGAAACUGGAGAUAAUACCGGAUAAUCCGUGAACGCUGGAAUGCCUUACGGUUGAAAGCUUUAGCGUCUGAGGAUGGGUCUGCGGCCGAUUAGGUAGUUGCUGGGGUAACGUCCCAACAAGCCGAUAAUCGGUACGGGUUGUGAGAGCAAGAGCCCGGAGAUGGAUUCUGAGACACGAAUCCAGGUCCUACGGGGCGCAGCAGGCGCGAAAACUUUACACUGCGCGAAAGCGCGAUAAGGGGACCUCGAGUGCGUGCGCAAAGCGUACGCUUUUCAGAUGCCUAAAAAGCAUCUGGAAUAAGGGCCGGGCAAGACCGGUGCCAGCCGCCGCGGUAACACCGGCGGCUCAAGUGGUGGCCGCUAUUAUUGGGCUUAAAGGGUCCAUAGCCGGACCAGUUAGUCCCUUGGGAAAUCUUACGGCUUAACCGUAAGGCUGCCAAUGGAUACUGCUGGUCUUGGGACCGGGAGAGGCAAGAGGUACCUCAGGGGUAGGAGUGAAAUCCUGUAAUCCUUGAGGGACCGCCAGUGGCGAAGGCGUCUUGCUAGAACGGGUCCGAUGGUGAGGGACGAAAGCUAGGGGCA